ensembl:lncRNA
AGGACAUUCAAGGACCGACAAACACAAACUGAAAGGACUGGGGCUUUUAAACACAGGAUAAAUGAGGAAGAACAAGACACACCUGGUUUCAAAUUAACAAUCAACAUGAGGAAGAAACUGGGUCACAGGGAGCAAAAACACACAGACAGGUACAUAACCCUGCAGCAGUAGAUAGUAUAUUAGGAACAAAAUGAUUGAUUAUCAAUGCAUGAAUCCAGCUCAUUUGUUUUCCAUGCAACAUUUUCAGUCAUUAUGUCCCUGCAGGCUCUACAUUAUUUAGAACAGUAAAAUCUUUCACAGUAACUUCUCCAUCACAAGAUGGAUCACAUCACACAGGACGCUCAGACGCAGAUGCUCUUGUGUUCUCCAGCGCCUGGAUAGCAUGUUGAAAUCCUGCAAAGUAUUAGUGUCACAUGGGCUGCUCAGGAUGCAGAGCGUGUUGGCAUAAUCUGACGGGGAACAAGAUGACUCUGGGAAUCAGUACUUCUGAAGGGCAUGACGGGAAUUAGUCACGAAACACCUGCUCUGCCUUGAUAACACUUUACUUUUGUCUGUCAGAAUAACGUCCUGCAACACUUUGUGAUGUCACAAUUGAACACUGAACGUUCCAACCACUGAUCUAUAUAUAAUGACUCUCUAUUAUAGAUCAGUGGUUCCUACACAAACGUAUAAUUAGAAUGAGGCAUAUCACACUGCAGUGAUUUUAGAUUGUACACCACAGUGUUUUAGCA